GAAACAUUGUAAAGGAAGGUUGAGCUGGCUCUUCACGGGCAUGUGCUCGCCUUUCUUUCAAUCUUCAUCCACCUGUGCACUUUUUGUAGAGAGCUUUGAGAAUGGACCUCUUGGGGUCCUAGUAUUGGGCUCCCUAUGUCUUUACACACUCUUGAAUGUAUGUCGUUGAAUGUCUUUUACAGGGACUUAAUUGACCCUUUAAAAACUAUACAACUUUCAGCAACGGAUCUCUUGGCUCU
rnacentral:misc_RNA from 1 species